GUCUAUGGCCAUGCCACCCUGAACAAGCCCAAUCUCAUCUGAUCUCAGAAGCUAAGCAGGGUCAGGCCUGGUUAGUACUUGGAUGGGAGACCACCUAGAAACACCGGGUGCUGUAGGCG
rnacentral:rRNA from 1 species